UUUCUUUUGGGAGACAAUUCUUGGUCUGCUACUGGGCCUUAGUAGAGACUGAAUGUUUGACCAGGGGCCGCCAAGUUACCAUGCAACCUGAGCUGCCUAUUCAUGAACUGGGUGUUAUCCAAUCCACCGAGUCAUAAAAUUUGGCAUACACAGCACUCCAUCAUCAAAUGGAAGUAGUACAUACAUGAUCCGGUUGGAAUAGGCCCUGAAGGCACACAUGCAAGACAUUGUGAUUUUGACCUUGUUGGAUGCUGCACCUAAAGGUGGAUGGAAGAGGAAGUCUUGGGGGCUACCACUCUGACUGGAGAAGCUGGCACGAGGCUCCCUCUUGUGGAUGCAGCAAGUCUAGGGGCCAAGGAAAGAGAAGAAUGACAUGGAAUCUCCUUUCCUUGAGAUCUUAGAAUCACGCCUGCCUCCUUACCUCCAUCCAGGACUGUUAAAAAACUCCCAAAGCAGGGACUUUUAGGCCCACAUGCACUUAGCCUCCUCUUCCCACCUCCUGUUCAUCUCCGUUUCCAAUGUUCCACUGCCAUAACUGCCAGGAGGUUCUGCAGAGAAGAUUGAAGAAGAACCAUAUGAUCCUAAACAUGCUCUCUGAAGAUAUUAUCAGCCCACCAUCGGCCUUAUUUAUUGGGAUGUUUUUAUAACCUUUAUUUGAUACCUCUUCCCAUCAUUUAAAAUAAACCUGGUGCUUCCCUGAA